rnacentral:rRNA from 1 species
GACGAACGCUGGCGGCGUGCUUAACACAUGCAAGUCGAACGGAAAGGCCCUGCUUUUGUGGGGUGCUCGAGUGGCGAACGGGUGAGUAACACGUGAGUAACCUGCCCUUGACUUUGGGAUAACUUCAGGAAACUGGGGCUAAUACCGGAUAGGAGCUCCUGCUGCAUGGUGGGGGUUGGAAAGUUUCGGCGGUUGGGGAUGGACUCGCGGCUUAUCGGCUUGUUGGUGGGGUAGUGGCUUACCAAGGCAUUGACGGGUAGCCGGCAUGGGAGGGUGACCGGCGACCUUGGGACUGAGAUACGGCCCAGACUCCUACAGGGGGCAGCAGUGGGGAAUAUUGCACAAUGGGCGGAAGCCUGAUGCAGCAACGCCGCGUGCGGGAUGACGGCCUUCGGGUUGUAAACCGCUUUCGCCUGUGACGAAGCGUGAGUGACGGUAAUGGAUAAAGAAGCACCGGCUAACUACGUG